UGGUUCCGGCAUCGAUGAAGAACGCAGCGAAAUGCGAUAAGUAAUGCGAAUUGCAGAAUUCCGUGAGUCAUCGAAUCUUUGAACGCAUAUUGCGCCCUCUGGUAUUCCGGAGGGCAUGCCUGUUCGAGCGUCAGUACAACCAAAACAAGCUUCGCUUGGUAUUGGGCCUUCAAAUUCGCGGGAUCCUCUCGUGGGCCUGAAAGGUAGUGGCGGCCCCUGUUCGGCUUCAAGCGCAGUUGGAAAAACAAUCAAAAUCUUUCUCGCUUUGGAGGACCGAAUAGGGUAAAUUCUGCCUUAACAAAAUUGUAUAAUCUAAGGUGGACCUCGGAUCAGGUAGGAAUACCCGCUGA
rnacentral:misc_RNA from 1 species